rnacentral:rRNA from 1 species
AACGACUCUCGGCAACGGAUAUCUCGGCUCUCGCAUCGAUGAAGAACGUAGCGAAAUGCGAUACUUGGUGUGAAUUGCAGAAUCCCGUGAACCAUCKAGUCUUUGACGCAAGUUGUGCCCCAWUCCAUCARGCCUAGGGCCSUCUGGUUGGGUGUSACAUGAMG